UACGUAGGGUGCGAGCGUUGUCCGGAAUUACUGGGCGUAAAGAGCUCGUAGGUGGUUUGUCGCGUUGUUCGUGAAAACUCACAGCUCAACUGUGGGCGUGCGGGCGAUACGGGCAGACUGGAGUACUGCAGGGGAGACUGGAAUUCCUGGUGUAGCGGUGGAAUGCGCAGAUAUCUGGAGGAACACCGGUGGCGAAGGCGGGUCUCUGGGCCGAUACUGACGCUGAGGAGCGAAAGCGUGGGGAGCGAACAGG
rnacentral:rRNA from 1 species